CCUGUGAUUCAGACCCCACAUCCAUCCCUUUCUACAAGGAUGCAGGGCCUUGUGGAGCCAUGCCGGGAAGGGGCUAGUUUUCCAGAUGGUCAAAGAGAGGAUGGUCAAUAGGUAAAGUCAUCCAUCUCUCACAUGCUCGUAAUAAAGACGUGGCCGGCUGGACCUCAAGAAAGCUGGAUAUACUCUUGAC